rnacentral:rRNA from 1 species
UAUUUUAAAGAGAGUUUGAUCCUGGCUCAGGACGAACGCUGGCGGCGUGCCUAAUACAUGCAAGUCGAACGAACGGAGGAAGAGCUUGCUCUUCCAAUGUUAGUGGCGGACGGGUGAGUAACACGUGGGCAACCUGCCUGUAAGUUGGGGGAUAACUCCGGGGAAACCGGGGCUAAUACCGAAUGAUAAAAGUGUGGCGCAUGCCACGCUUUUGAAAGAAUGGUUUCGGCUAUCGCUUACAGAUGGGCCCGCGGUGCAUUAGCUAGUUGGUAG